ensembl:snoRNA
ACCGAGACUAGAGUCACAUCUCGAUACUGUCAGUUAUUGUGGUGUGCUAUAGUACUCGGAGAGUAACAACUGACCUUUAUUCACUGGCUGUCCUUCCCAUAGUGCAGUCAGUCACCAGGUUAGUAACAGUA